rnacentral:lncRNA from 1 species
AUGCGAGCCCCCAGCGCCUGUGACGCACAGGCAGCUGCUCUCAUUCUGGAUGUGCUUGUGACGGACAGUGCCUCCCAGCUGGAGCACGGACGAGACAGUCACCCUUACCUUGGCCGUGAGUUUCUGGACGAGGGCUUGCUCGUUGCCAGGACUGCGCUCGCUUGUCUAGGCGAGAGGCAGGGCCCUCUCUCCUUCUCCAUGAGCCCCCCAAGCCGUGACCUCCCCUGGGACGCACAGGUACAGUACCUCAGGGCCACGUCUGGCUGGGUUCUGCCCAGUGCCAGGCCACCACUGGGCCAGCGCGCCCGUGUGCCGAGCGCUGCUUGGGGCUCUGAGUAACAACAAGGAGCCUGCCUGGGCAGCCCUGUGUCCUCCCCCACCUCUGCAUCUCCUUGUCUUACUUGGAAGGUUGCAAACGUGGGCUGGGGGUAGGGUUAGAGGCUCGAGCAGGGUGGGCCAACACACAGCUUGGGCAGGCUGCAAGGGCUGGGACAGGGAAUCGAGGGCCACGUGCCAAAUGCCUGAGGCCCGCCCAGUGUGAGGAUCGUGCCAACCCAGGAAGACUCGUCACGAGCAUGUCACAAACUGAGCCCAAAGUGCCUCUGUGGCUUAGCUCUGGCCGGGCAGCCAAGCCGGGUGCUCCGUCUGUAUCCUCCAGGGCAGCACCUGAGCCUCAGCUGCCCAGGCUUGGGCCGUGCAACAGGGAGGUCUCAAGAGUGAGAGCUGUCGUUGGGUUUUUUCUGCAGGCAACCAGGGCACUGCAUGAGAUUGUCUGACAGCCCACCUGCCCGCAGCAGGUGGAGGCAGUUUAUCCCCAGCUGUUCUUGGCACCACUGUUCCAGAUAUCCUUCUGCGAAGAUGUGAUGCCACAGGAGGUUGAUACCUUCUUGAAGGAAUGGGGACAGGAAAUGUGUGCUACCACCAGCCCCAUCAGGUGCUCCACCCCAGUCCCAUGGUCUCGGUCAUGGACUUGGAGGCGGGGCCAGGGCUCCCAGGGUGACGUGGGCUUUGCUCCUUCUCAGUGCAGGCCAUGAGAGCACUGCUUUGCUGUGCUGCUUACUAGAGUCAGGUGCCUGGCAUGGAGAGGAAGGGUGGCUGGGCCGAACUCCUCAGCCCUGAGAAGCCACCACAGAGGAGGGGAUUUGCUGGCCAGGGGAGAGCCCCCUUCUCCUUGCUGUCCCUCACAGCAGAGGGAGCACGCCACACAAUCCCCUUUUCUUGUGGGUGAUGGGACCCCAGCGCUCCCUUGAAAGGGGCUGCAGCCUCAGCUGUUGCGACCGAGGGGUUGAGGACUGGAGCAGGAAAGGGAGCUUGCUGCCUGGCUCUGAGAACUGUUUGG